GAUGAACGCUGGCGGCGUGCUUAACACAUGCAAGUCGAACGAACAGAGGAGUGCUUGCACUCCAAAGUUAGUGGCGGACGGGUGAGUAACGCGUGGGUAACCUGCCUCAUGCAGGGGGAUAACAUUUGGAAACGAAUGCUAAUACCGCAUAAACUAUGGACAGUCGCAUGACUGUUAUAGCAAAGAUUUAUCGGCAUGAGAUGGACCCGCGUUGGAUUAGCUAGUUGGUGAGAUAACAGCCCACCAAGGCGACGAUCCAUAGCCGGCCUGAGAGGGUGAACGGCCACAUUGGGACUGAGACACGGCCCAAAACUCCUAACGGGAGGCAGCAGUGGGGAAUAUUGGCACAAU
rnacentral:rRNA from 1 species